rnacentral:lncRNA from 1 species
AGUGUGUGCUGUUAUUUACUAGCGCUGUGAACCAAGGAAGCGAAAAAACAAAGAGCCCGAAGACUGCACAGUUCCAGCUUGUAGGCCCUGGAGACAGUCUGGAGUCCUCAGACGGACAGAAAGAAGACAUCAGAAGGGCAACCUGUGGUGCCUGUGGCUGCUGAGUACAGAAUCUCUCCAGAAUACAUUCAGUUCAUAACCUCCUGGAGCUCCCGUGAGGCUGUGAACGCAUGCAGCAUCCAGUGUACACAUUUCUUUCUCCAAGUGGGGAAUGCUUGAUGUGACGUAGUGCCAGGACAACCCUGGGACCUUGCCUCUACUGAGUUCAGCUCUCAGAUCAAACAAGAUAUGAAUCAGAGAGAAAGAAGUAAAAUCUUGUCCUAGGAAGAAAGGGAGCGAUUGGCAGAAGACUUGUCUCUGCUAGAGAAGCACUGUAGGCUGGCACCCAGUCACCUUAUGAAGGAAGGAAAUUGUCACGGUGAACAAGCUCGAUCCUUCCUGAAGUGAAAGUUGUCCUUCACAGCCAGCCGCACAUGAAGCAACUUGUGACUGCUGAAGCCUCUGUCUCCUUUUGUUUCCCCAAGUGUGUCGAAAGCCAGCUUGGCUCAUUCUGCACUCUCCAGUCUUGAUCCCUGCUAUACAUCUGUUUGCAUCGAACAUUAAGCGUGGGUGACUGAUUUUUAAGAAAUCGGCAACACGGAAGCUGAUUAUAAAAUAUUCAUAAGAAGCUGGCUUUUACAGGUAAUCGCUUUUUUCCUUCUACUUCUUCCCAAACCUUCCAUUUCUUCAAAUAGUACAAUUUUUAGGACAUUGAAAGCUUAUAUAUUUAAUGUUGCUAGUUUAUAUCUUUAUAACCCAUCAAUCUAGCUUUUGUGGUCUUUGAUUCUUUGGAGUUUGAGAGUUUUUAGAAUUAAUUUCAAAAGGAUGUUUGCUUCUUUUUAAAGUAAUUUAGGCAGAGUUCAUUUGAAACCACAAACACUGUCUUUGAACUCUGGAUGUAUAUGUAUGUAUAUGUAUAUUAUAUGCAUAUAUGUGUGUCUAUAUAUCUGAGAAUUCAGGGUUUAUAUGCAUUUCAGAAGGUUGUUAUUAAUAUUUUAGCUUCAGUUCUACUUGAUUACAACUUAGCACUUUCUGGAACUCUUCAAUAUCCAUUGCGUGGGUGGGGAUUGAGUUUGGCUCUCAUGAUCCAGGCAGCUUCCUUUGGGUGCCGCUGAAGCACUUUGUCCCACCUAGAAAGGUUUACAAGCAUCCAUGAUCUGGUGUCCAAAAAAAAGUACCUUUCCCUUUGUUUGUAAAUGACAGCCCCAUGUUUUCACAGUUG